rnacentral:rRNA from 1 species
GGAUGCGAUCAUACCAGCACUAAAGCACCGGAUCCCAUCAGAACUCCAAAGUUAAGCGUGCUUGGGCGAGAGUAGUACUAGGAUGGGUGACCUCCUGAGAAGUCCUCGUGUUGCAUUCC